GAUAAAUUGUUGCGUAAGAGAAGUAAGCAUAGCAGAAGCAUUGAAGAGAGCUAGCGGUGGUGGGAUGCUAGCAUGUGGACUCUUGCUGAAUGGACUUACAAGAGGUUUCCUGAAAAAACAAGUAGGGAAACACGGAGCUCCGCCGUUAUACGGAUAGAAUAUCGGAUAGGUGGUUCCGUUUACCGAAUCCUCUCUCCUGUAUUCGAAUAAAGAUAAAAAGCUUAUGCUUUUUAACAGAGGUGGCACCGCGGUUCCAAUCGUCCUCUAC
rnacentral:ncRNA from 1 species